UUGGAAUUUGAAGAGGGUCAUCUCUGAAGCGGCUCCCCAUUGGAGGGCCCGCUCACGGGUCACACGGGCCUUCACGUCAUCCCUGAAACCGGAAUUGAUGUCAUCCCGGGAAUCCCAGCCAUCUCCAGAUUACGGAGAGCCACCCAUUCCUCUGCCAUCUGGUCCACCUUUCCUAAAUCCAAAGCCAUCUUUACCUUGUUUCUGCUUUCUGCAUUGCCCACAUGAAGUGACGGAGCACCCACCAGUGCGCUGCGGUACGUGAGGACACGGACUCGCGACAUCGAAUUCUACGUAGCAGAAUCCUUUAAAUCUGCGUGUCUCCCACUAGCCACAUUCCCUAUGCCGAGAUCCUUAGAGAUAGCAUCUAUUGUCACCCUAAACUGUCUUAAAAGGUAAUUUUCUACAUGUGCUGGGUAGGAGGACUCCGUGGGCAGCUCCUUCUUAGCUUCAGCAACCAUGGCCACGCGAAUUGCCGCAGGACCCUGUGCGCCGCGGGAGCUGCCUUAGGCCGGAACGUCGUAGAAAGCUGAGGGUGAAAGACCCAGAAUCAUUACAUCAGAAUAACAGGUAGUGUUUUCUGAGGAUUCAGAAUGUAUCGGACAUAGUCUGAAGGACUUUCCACUAUUAACUCAUCUAACCCUCAUAAUUCUAUGAGAUACGCAGCAAUGAUUCUCCUCUCCUCCUCACCAGCCUUCUUUUGAAAAUGGCAGGCCCAGCGGGUGGGGAAAAAAUGGAUGCGUGAGCUAUCUGACCUUUUUUGAACCCAGUCUCUGCCGCCAUCCCGUCACGACUCCCACACGCAUGCGCAGAGGAACACUAGCCUGUUUGCUUUUCCGGAGGUUAGCCAUGCUGAAAACCGCCCUUAACCUUUUCCAUGGAACUGUCCCUACGUGCCCCAGCCGCCCGCCCUGAGUCCAAGCCCCAACAUUUCGUUGAGGACCUUCAUUCUGGGGUUCCACCUUCAACUUUCCCUUUAGGAAUUUUUUCUGCAGCUGAUUUCAGAGCAAAGGAUAGGAAUCAAUCUCGCAUUUGGAUGUGAGCUGCGCCACAAAAGGGCCCUUGCAUCAAAUUACUGCCACAGGAGCUCAACCCAGCGCCAACCCGCGCCAACCCGCGCCAAUCCGCGCCAAUCCGUUAGAAACCAAUAGAAACGUAAAGUGGCCACAGGCUCCAUCCACACAAGCCAAGCCAAGCCCAGAGCCCUCCCCUCCUCGUUCCCAGUCAACAGACUCGACCUGCCCCUGCCCGCACUCAUUCCUCUCAGAAAAUCCACGGCCGCAGAGAUGCGGGGCUCACCAUGGUAAACAGUGGAGGACUCCAGGAUAGCGGUUCCGGAGGUCCGCAACGUGCGAGUCUCAGUUCAGGUCCAAGACCGAAGCCUUUUCAGAGCCUCCUCAGCGCAGCGAGAGGGCGGCUGACGACCGAAGACGCAGGCAGGCUGACUCAGACCUGCAAGAUCAACUCGUGACUGAUGCUGCAGAAUAUAAUAGGGGCCCGAAGCCUCUGGGAAAUGUAGUUCAAGGCCGAGAAAAGUCAUAGACCAAGGCUAUUCUUCAGUCAUAGGCUCCGCAUCCAGGUUCUCCAGGGCCGUGCCGCAGAGGCUGCCGGGAAUGUUGGUGCAACGUGGACCGCACACGCGCAAUAGCGAAUGCUCGCCCUUCCCGCGCCUCCCACGCUUCCCCAGGGACUGAGGGUUCUCUGCCUCAAUCCUCGUGGUGAGGCCAACCCCAGGGUUGUGGGGUGCCAAGAUUAUUUAGUGAGACAGGGUGUUAAAUAGUGUACCAAACCGAAUGCAUAAAGACUGGACUGCGUUGC